CUCUCGAUCUCCGUGGAGUUUAUAAACUAACUACUAAACCUUUGGGGGAUUUAAAAACAACUCCAGCUCGCUGCGCGCCUCUCUUUUUCUCUUCGCUCGGCUCUUACGCUAGUGUCAACGCCAAAGCUACCGGUGUAUCGGUAGUCUAGCCUGCUAAUAGGAAUACAACAGACUGCUUUGGGUCGCUGUGGACUGUACAUGCUGCAGAAAGGAGCGGCCAGUGCCAGCUGUGGCUGUAAGGACCAGAGGUGUUUGUUUUCAAGGUGCGCCUUUUUGCGGUUAGUUCCAGCUCAUCUCCUCCCAGUGCCAUUGAUCAGUGUCAAAAUAAAUCGGGCUACAAAAUAUACAUGUAUCCCUACAUGUAAUUAAUGCAAUUUACACAAUGCCAUCCUUAUAGACUUUGACCGUGCAUGACAGCAACAAUGGUACGGUAUCUGUGCGUUAACAACCGUAUCAUGUACCAACACGUUUCACCCGGCAGGCAAGCACAACUCGCGCAAGUGGUAGCAUUGUUAAAACCACAAAUUCUAUUUAUAGGGCUGGUUUGUGUAUGAUGUUGUAUAAUAUGAUACUGUGCAGCAAGGGUAGCCUAUGUUGUGUAUUUUCAAGCGCUCCGUUCGCAUGUGCCACUGUAUCUUGCGCUCGCUUCUCAUAACGUGCGCGCCCGGUUUCGCUGCCCUGGGUGCAUCAAGUGCACAGUCAUCAGGUAUGUGUUUGUUAUAUUCUUCCAACAACAUUCCGUCAUUUUCAACAUGUCCAUAUAUUCAAGUUGUAUUGCUGAUAAUAGUUGGGUGUUUUUCAGAUUGAUGCGCCCAUAUACGAACCUAUAGCUAAUCGGUGAUGAUAUCGAACUCAGUCAGUAUUGGUGAGGUAAGAGCAGCGUUAGUUUAGUUUAUACUAGCCUAUGUACCCAACAGGUUCCUUCAUUAUCAGGAUAUGUAUGUGGAAUGAGUGAUGAGCACGUGACAGUUAAGGUUUGACUGAGGCUGUAAGGGCAUAUUGAUGAUGAAUAUAAGAUAUAUAAUAAUAAUAAUAAUAUAUGCCAUUUAGCAGACGCUUUUAUCCAAAGCGACUUACAGUCAUGUGUGCAUACAUUCUACGUAUGGGUGGUCCCGGGGAUCAAACCCACUACCCUGGCGUUACAAGCGCCAUGCUCUACGAACUGAGCUACAGAAGACUUGCUCAGAAUAUGACAGAGCUGUUCAAUAAGUGAAUGGAUUUCCUGCUGUAAUUGAAGUCUUUAGAGGGCUUAGUGGUUAGGGAAUACGCAGUGUGCAUGUUUCUGUGUGGUGUGUGUGUGUGUGUCAGAUUUAAGAAAGGGGAAAAGUUAACCCUGUACUUCCCCCUCCUCCUUUCAGUCUCUCUUGUAAAAGAUGCAUAGCUAGCAGAGAUGACGAUGAUGAUGAUAUCAAAUCUCAGGAAAGGAAUGACCAUGACCGGAUUUCAAGGCCAUAAUUGACAAGAUCCCUGCAUGAGAGAACGAGAGAGAGACAGAGAGGGAGGGAGGGAUGUUUGGAAGCAACAGAGGUCCACAUUAGAGCCACAGAACAGGGAUUGAAGGAACACCCAUUGGAACCAUGGAAUCAGUCCUGGGAAUGUCAAAGCAUCUCAGAGAAACAGAUACCUGGGUUUGACUGACAGCCAGAGGUUCACUAACUAAUUGGUAUAUUCAGAAUGUACUCUAGGUUUCCACACCACCCAUAACCAAGGAGAGGAGAGAAAAAGGAGAGGAAAGGAGAAUGGAGAAGAGAAAAGGAGGACAAGAGAGGAGAUGAAAGGAGAAGAGAAGAAAGGACAGAUGAUGAGAGGACAGACGAUGAGAGGAGAGAAGGAGAAAGGACGGAUGAAGAGGAGAUAGGAGAGGAGAAGAGAGUCGUGAGAAGAAGUCAGGAAUACAGAAGGAAGACUGUGGGAACAAGAGUGGAUCCAGCCCGCUUGACUGUGGUGACAAGCCUUUCAUUUCCAUGCUGAGACAAGUCUGAUAACCUGGCUGUGGGACUGACUGGUUGUGGUUGACAACAUCUGUAGGAGGUGUGUGUGAAUGUGUGCAGACUGGAUGUCCUGCUCCCCUUAAAUCAGUCAUCUCAUUGUCUGUAUAAAAGGACACACAGAAGAAACCUCAACAAAUGCUUUUGUUGGUUAGUUUCAA